ACUCCUACGGGAGGCAGCAGUAGGGAAUCUUGCGCAAUGGGCGAAAGCCUGACGCAGCCAUGCCGCGUGAAUGAUGAAGGUCUUAGGAUUGUAAAAUUCUUUCACCGGGGAAGAUAAUGACGGUACCCGGAGAAGAAGCCCCGGCUAACUUCGUGCCAGCAGCCGCGGUAAUACGAAGGGGGCUAGCGUUGCUCGGAAUUACUGGGCGUAAGGGCGCGUAGGCGGACAGUUUAGUCAGAGGUGAAAGCCCAGGGCUCAACCUUGGAAUUGCCUUUGAUACUGGCUGUCUUGAGUUCGGGAGAGGUGAGUGGAAUGCCGAGUGUAGAGGUGAAAUUCGUAGAUAUUCGGCGGAACACCAGUGGCGAAGGCGACUCACUGGCCCGAUACUGACGCUGAGGCGCGAAAGCGUGGGGAGCAAACAGGAUUAGAUACCCUGGUAGUCCACGCCGUAAACGAUGAGUGCUAGUUGUCGGCAUGCAUGCAUGUCGGUGACGCAGCUAACGCA
rnacentral:rRNA from 1 species